rnacentral:tRNA from 2 species
AGUAAAGUGGCCGAUAAUAGGUGCUAAAUUGUAAAUUUAGUUAAGGAAACUUCCCUUUACUA